AUACUUACCUGGCAGGGGAGAUACCAUGAUCAUGAAGGUGGUUCACCCAGGGUGAGGCUCAGCCAUUGCACUCCGGCUGUGCUGACCCCUGCGAAUUCCCCAAAUGUGGGAAUCUCGACUGCAUAAUUUCUGGUAGUGGGGGACUGCGUUCGCGCUCUCCCCUG
ensembl:snRNA U1 U1 spliceosomal RNA